rnacentral:lncRNA from 1 species
GGCCGGAUGCCUUCUGGCUCUCAGGAUAUCAGGGUGGGCAGCACAGCUGGAGGAGGAGAUGGAAGGUGAGUCUGCUGCCGUCCCUUUGCUUCUCCCAGUGAUGCUAGUCUGGUAGAUGGUCAUCGCAUGCUCUGUAGAUGUUUAGGCUGCGGGCGUUUGAGGGGGUUGUUGGAAGGGCUGAUUGUGUUCACUGUGAUCCCAAGUGUCCUGGAUUUCUAUCUAAGCAGGAUCCGCUGCGCAGCCAGAGGAAGUAGAAGAAGAUCUGAAUGAAACCGUAAUUUGUACCAACGACCAGAUUGAAGUGAUCAUCCCCAGUGCCUUCUUCCUCAGCAAAGUGCCUCCUGUUUAUGUUUGGGAUUUACACCUGAAUGAUCUAGAAUGCCGGGGUGUGCAGAUCGGUGACAACUACGUCUUCAGUAUCAAGACAAACCUCACGGACUGUGGAACACUCACCGUCUCGGAUGACACAAACAUCAUGUUCAUUAACACUAUACACAACAACAAUUCAGACAUUAUCACCAGGAGUUACGUCAACAUCACCUUUGGGUGCCGUUACCCAAUCAACUA